ensembl:lncRNA
GUCUAUUAAACCAACAAACCAACACAAGGAGAGUGCCACCUCUCAGCGAGCGCUGAGCAAGGAGAAGGAGAAGGCUGCGUCUGACAGGCUGCUCGUUGUGAAAUGUUUGUGCCACUCCUAGUAUUAUUAUUAGUCUCUUGUUGUACAUUUCCGAAGCAAUUAACUCCUUAAUCCUCACAAGGCUCAGGGGAGGUAAGGCAGUCACUGCUCAUUAAGGGAAAUGGUUGUCAGUGGGGCCAAAUGUUGGGCUGCAGGAGGUUGACAGAGAGGAAGAUGCUCCAUCAGGAGACAGAAGUUCUUCCCUCCUUGGCUGCAUCCAGGAGAUCAAAGCAGUCUGGCUUCUUAAUGUGAGGAAUUUCAGGCAUCUCUGCAUGGGGAAGGAGCUCAGAAAUGGCAGAUGUACCUUGCUGCUCUGGGGAGUGCAAUGAAAACCCGGUGAAUGUAGGUGCUAGCAAAGCUCUGCUGGCGUGUGAGAUGUUCAGGAGAGUCCCAGCCAGCAGCCCCAGUGGAUGGAGAAUGGGGGAAAGAGCAGCCUGGGCUGGCUGCAAAGACUAAAGCUUUGAGAGCUGAGGAGCAGAAGCCAUACAGCUUCUACUACUUCUUCCACUAGCUCCUCUGGGCUAGUGGAGUGGUUGUAGGCAACCUUGAUAUGAAAGAGCAGCAAGAACUUGCAAGCCAAAUGUUUUUCAUUAGUGGUUAAUUUUCUUGGUGUGAGGGAUAAAAGCAUAGAAAAAGCUCAAGCAGCUCCCAGCAUUUGAGGGGAAGGAGGGGAAUGACUGCAGAGGAUCACCCUCUCCCUAGGCAGUGACUGGAGCUUGGCACGUCCUGGCAGCGGGGAAAGAGGGAACUGCAGGGCCUGUGCUGAGCUUGGCACCAAGUCUGAGAGUCUGCUCCCAACCUCGAAAAAAGGAGUUUAGGGAUGGAGCACAGACGGAACGCCAGCAACAUGUAGACACAGCAGGGUGGGGGCAGAGCAGUGGGAGAGCUUUAACAAGGGAUGGGGAGAUGGGAUUUGAAACCAAGGCAGAUAUGUCAGAACAUCUCUGGGGAGUGAGCUGGGGAGAAGAGCUGAAAGGGUCAGCAUUUAGAGGGUAGUACUCUGGUGAGUGCUCCCAGGGCUGAGGAGUGAGCUGAUAUAGGAUAGUGUCCCCCUCCUAACAGCCAAAAGGUGGUGAAGCAUAUCUUUGCAGCGCUCCUCUUCCAAUAUGUUGGGAGCUGUGCUGACCUUCCAGCAUCUCCCCAAGGCUACAAAGGUUGAGUCCUCCCAAACAGCUAAGCAACAUUGUGUUUCAUGGUGCCUUUGCAUCCAGCUGUUGGCACGCUCAGGCAGAUUCCCUGCUUUGGGAUCCAUCCACUUGAAGACUUCACUGUAUGGUUUUGUCUGCUCUUCUGAGCACUUGGAUUUUUUGGAGGGCAAGGUGGCAGCCCCAGAAACAAGGGGGAAGGGCCAGCCCUUCCAACCACAGCACGCCAGCCUCAAUCAAGCCCCGCUGGCAGCUGCAAGCUGUGACAGACUGUAAAUCUGAGGGCUGGAGCAGGAGAACAGCUGGGUGGCCAUCAGAGAGGGCUGGGAGGGGAACAAUGGUGGGGGGAGAAGCUGGGAGCCAUCAGGGGCACUGCCUGGCGUUGGAUCAGUCCUAGGAACUGGCAGUGUUCAGCGGAUGCUUAUCCGCUCUGCUGGCAGUCCCCAGCCACCAGCUUCCUUUGACAGCUGAAGGGGGAAAAAGGUUACUUGAUCCCAGACCUGAAGGAGCUGAUGUGAAACACAACUUUAGUUUGUUUCUGAACCGCUUUAAAAUCCAAAGGGGCGAAAUAGGAGAGGGAAACGUAAUUAAAUACACAUAAAAUAUUCACUCUACACAAUGUACACUUAAUUAAUUCCUGUCCCCUUUACAAACAGAUUAUCUUUUGAUUUUCUGCUUUCCUAAGGUUGCCAUUUCAAAUGACUUGGAGAAGGGAUUUUAGCCUCCCAAUAUCACACCAGGACACGUGUUAUCAUCACAUACGUGUGGCUCCUUCUGCUGGAAGCUCCCCCAGCCUGCCAGGUAGCUGUGCAUCCCCUCAUACGGAUGAACCUGAGAGCCUCAGCUUUUGCUGCAGAUCUGUGUCUGGGAACUGAAUCCCAAUCCAAAGACCCCGAAUGCCUUAGCUGUAAAAGUCUCGCUGUGAAAUCCUUUGUUUGAGCUGCCUCUUCAGUCGUGUGGUGCUGCUUCUGGAUUCGAUGGACCACCCUAGAGCACAUUUCCUCCUCAACCCCAAAGUGAAUGCAUCAUUUAAUUACUGUCAGUGCACAAACCCUAUUCACUUGCUUGCCAGGGUCGCAAACCUUCCAACAGAAAUGCUCAUAAUUUGCAGAGAACACAAUGCCUGGUUGAAAUUGAAUUCACAGUCGGGAAAAAAAACAGUCUUCUGAUGAUUGACCAUUUGUAUCACAGCUGUCUUAAGGGUGAGGGAGAUGAGAGACCAGCCAUGCUGCACACUUGGAAUAGGAAACCGUCCCUGGCUCAAAGCUCUAUUGUUUGGGCAGGGUCCCACCAGAGGAAGCCCUCUGCACGCCCUGCCUGUAUGAUGUGAACGGAGGCAUAAAGAAAGUGACUUUUCCAGCACUGUGCUUCAAAUCCAGAUGAUUCAAAUGCAAAACUGAAAACCCCUGAGCCUCACCCCAGUGCCUGACCUGCAGGACGGCCUGCCUCUCUGAUUUUCCCAAACGUUUAGGCUGGAUAAAGCAUACAGUGUAAGCCAAGAGUCCAAGGAAACCUCUCUUGCACAGGCCACGUUCUGUAGAUCCAGACACCGGAGUAAUGAGAACAUGCAGAAAUGUCUUCUACCACCAGAGCAUGCAUCUUCGUCCUUGGUCCUAAAUGCUCUGAUUGACUUUUAAUUAGCAGCAUGUGUCCCAUGAGACUGGCAAGAUGUCUCUAAAUUCACCUCUAUCUUAAUUGCAUCAGGAAGCUGCCUUCUGGGGCUGCUCAGCUCCCAGUCCCUGGCACACGUCGUACUAAUGGAGCGAAGCUGCAGCUGGCAGCCCUUCCUGGGUGCUUGCUGGGCAUUUAAUCUCACCAGCCUCCACAGAGCAAGUGCUUCACGCGGGAGUGCAGAACCAUUCAGAAGUUGUGAUGUCAGAAGAUGAGCUGUCCCACUGAGCCAGAUCAGAACCGGGGAGACAACGUGAUGCAAGAGGGGUUCAUCUACACAGAGCAGUGGGAAAGAGCGGGGGAAAGAAUGGGAAGUUUGCAUAAGGAGCACCCACAGGGUGAAGCUCAGGUUGGCUUUGCCAUAGGAAAAUCGCACUCUAUGAUUUCAAAUUAUUUUGAUUCCAGUUCAGAUUCUGUGUGGGUGGAGGUGUAUGUAAAUAGGAAUGCGAGCAUGUGUACGCACAGAGCAAAGCCAGCCAGAAACCUCCACAACCAGUUUGCUUCCACCACACGUGCUCCUGGCUCUGGAGAUAGACACAACCCUGGCAAUGAGCAGCCACGCUUUGCCAGUGCACCCCAUCCUGCCAUCCCUCACGCCAGCUGGGGAUGUGACACACAGAGCUGUGGGGCCAGAGCACAUCCCUUCCCCACUCACCCCUCUCUCCAGGUUGGAGAACAGGCUCCCAGUGCAUGGCUGCCUGUUCAUCACGCCGUAACCCUACCACUGUGGGGAUCGUGCAGAGGGGCUGUGCUGGGAGAGGCUGAGCUGGAACCAGCAGUGGAGCUGAGCCAACCCCUGGCCUUACCUUCCUGACGAUUACUUAUUCUAUCUCCUCCUGGGGGGCAGGUUCCACCCACGACUUGCCUUCCCUCCCACUAAAGGUUUGAUUCCCACCACAAAAGCGCAGCCCCUCAGAGCAGGCUGCUUUCUUAAGCCACCCUUUUGUUUUCGUUCGUGUGUUUUUCAGGGUGGCUGUAGGGUUCCCUCUUGAGAUUUGGGAGCUCAGCGCUCUCCUAAUGGCAAACUGUGUCUCCCAGGCCCCAUUCCCAGCCCACCUAAGUGCGUAGGUCUCUACUAGUUCUGUUUUAGCUGCUCAGAGGCUGACAGAACACGAUGAAACAGGACAGAGCUUGAUAGAGAAUAUAUUUCUCCAGAGGAGAGAGGGAACCGCAGACGCCUGCCCUUCUAUUCCUGUUUACCUUUGCUUUCAGGAGGUCAAUUGAAUUGUGGGCAUAAACUUACACUGCGGUUUGCAAACUGAUACUCUCCAGAAGUGCGUUCUGGCGUCACAGAACAUUUUGUGUUUCGGUUUCUUCUUUCCUUGCUCUUUUAUGGCCGCAUAAUAACUUGCAACAUAUGUAUCUCAGAAACACUUGUUUACACAACAUUUUCAAAGCAUCACAAUUAACAUCACUUUGUGGAGUUCCCGUGGAGGCAUCCCUCGCGCGGUAAUGACCGGCAACUUCUUUCAUACUUGGGCUUCUUCAGCUCCUUCUGUAUGCUCCGUCUGCAGGACUCCUCCAGAAGCACAGAACAGUUUUUAGUCUUCCGCUGCGUGAGUGCUGAGAAGCGUGAGUGGAAGGCAGGGGCCGGAUUUUGUGCGGCACACCUUCAUGAGGCCCCUCUAUCCAUUUGGUAGCGCUAUUCCUUUCACGUUGCGUGUGGCCGCCCCAUGACCACCCUGCGGAGCUCAGUGUGGGAAGAACAUACCCACAUGGCUCCAACAAGGCUCUAGGCAGACUUCUGGAGAAGGCUCUCACUGCUAAACACAAUGGUCCAGCCAAAACUCCGUCUUCGGACACGUCUGAGGCUAGGGGCCCAUAGUGGGGAAAGAUCAUUCUGCAAAGGUCCGACUUUUAUGCUGUACCCCUGAACUCAACGCUUGUAGUUGUUGUCAAAGUCAGGAGAAUGAACAAGGUGGACUUUUGAUCUGACCUAAUGUAGCACUUGGUUUAAAUUUACAUUGGCUCAGCAUCAAGCCUAGUUUCUGACAUAGCGUGUUAUGCAAUCCAUGUGCUCAUUCCUCAUGUUGUCCCCACCAUCCCACAGAGGUUAGCGAGUUUGCAUCCCAGGGAAAGAGAGAGUGCUUCUGCCUGCAGUCACGUUUGCCCUGCCAGGCCUUGCCCAAGCCUGCUCCGGAGCUUUUGCUCACAGAACCGCUUACACAAAUUUCCAAGAAAGUGCUUAAAUUCCACUGACCUUAACAAAUAUCCUGGAGUGAGGUUUUACCAGCUCUACCCAAGCAGUAUGACGGCUCUCCUCAUUUUCUCAUUUAUCUUCUGUUUUUUUUUUCUUUUAUCUACAAUCAGAUGGGCAGCAGGAUCUAACACAACUGCUUUAGGCUCUCCCAUCCUACCAGGAAAAAACCCAGAGGCUCAGUGCUGGUGCAGAGCAGAGGAGCUGCUACCUUAGGGCCACAGCUCAGAAGGAGAUCUCUCUGCCACAGGCUGGCCUAGGAGACUUAGCAGGCUCGGAGAAGUGACUGCAGCUUUACAGAAGAUCACGCCGGUGUUCCUCUUCCAACAAAAACACCCCCAUGUCUACUUUGAAACUGGAAUUGAACUAAUCUUCCUUUAAGCUGUUUUACAUUUUGUCCAGCUUGGGCACCAGCAGGAAACCCAUCUGUGCUGAUGAGGUGCUGCUCCAACGACCAGAGCUGCAGCAGCAUCCAAAGGAAGGAGCCCAGAGAUAGUCUGCAGCCCCUCCCAAGCGCC